CGCACCUUGCACUCUUUGGUAUUCCGAAGAGUAUGUCUGUUUGAGUGUCGUGAAUCUCUCAAAACCCCCUUUUGUUUAAUUACAAGAGAGUCUAGGGCUUUGGAUGUUGACUGCUAUGCCGUUCUGAAUGGCUCGGUCGAAAUAUAAGAGCUGAAGCUAAUGAUUGCAUUAAUUCAAACUCUGAAGUUGGCGUAAUAAUUAUUUCGUUAACGACUAGGCUUGAUAGCGAUUUUAAAGCAGGCUUAUAAAGUACCUCUUUUACAUUAGACCUCAAAUCAGUCAGGACUACCCGCUGAACUUAA
rnacentral:misc_RNA from 1 species